GAUGAACGCUGGCGGCGUGCCUAAUACAUGCAAGUCGAGCGAACGGACGAGAAGCUUGCUUUUCUGAUGUUAGCGGCGGACGGGUGAGUAACACGUGGAUAACCUACCUAUAAGACUGGGAUAACUUCGGGAAACCGGAGCUAAUACCGGAUAAUCUUUUGAACCGCAUGGUUCAAAAGUGAAAGACGGUCUUGCUGUCACUUAUCGAUGGAUCUGCGCUGCAUUAGCUAGUUGGUAAGGUAACGGCUUACCAAGGCAACGAUGCAUAGCCGACGUGAGAGGGUGAUCGGCCACACGGGAACUGAGCCACGGUCCAGACGCCUACGAGAGGCAGCAGUAGGGAAUCUUCCGCAGUGGGCGAAAACCUGACGGAGCAACGCCGCGUGAGUGAUGGAGGUCUUCGGAUCGUAAAACUCUGUUAUUAGGGAAGAACAUAUGUGUAAGUAACUGUGCACAUCGUGACGGUACCUAAUCAGAAAGCCACGGCUAACUACGUG
rnacentral:rRNA from 1 species